AAUGAACGUUGGCGGCGUGGAUUAGGCAUGCAAGUCGAGCGAGAACCCAGCAAUGGGGGACAGCGGCGCAAGGGACAGUAAUGUGUAGAUCAUCUGCCCUCAGGCCCGGGAUAGCUGCGGGAAACUGCAGGUAAUACCGGAUAACAUCUCCGGAUCAAAGGUGUGAUUCCGCCUGAGGAUGAGUCUACAUCCUAUUAGCUAGUUGGCAGGGUAACGGCCUACCAAGGCGAUGAUGGGUAGCGGGUGUGAGAGCACGACCCGCGUCAUUGGGACUAAGCCACUGCCCAGACACCUACGGGUGGCUGCAGUCGGGAAUCUUCGGCAAUGGGCGCAAGCCUGACCGAGCGACGCCGCGUGCGGGAUGAAGGCCUUCGGGUUGUAAACCGCUGUCAGAGGGGAUGAAAUACAGGUGGGUUCUCCCAUCUGUUUGACAUAGCCUCAGAGGAAGGACGGGCUAAGUUCGUGCCAGCCGCCGCCGUAAAAC
rnacentral:rRNA from 1 species